rnacentral:rRNA from 1 species
UCUGGUUGAUCCUGCCAGUAGUCAUAUGCUUGUCUCAAAGACUAAGCCAUGCAUGUCUAAGUAUAAAUAGUAUACAGUGAAACUGCGAAUGGCUCAUUAAAACAGUUAUAGUUUAUUUGAUAAUUGACAAUUACAUGGAUAACCGUGGUAAUUCUAGAGCUAAUACAUGCUUAAACGCCCGACUUUAUGGAAGGGUGGUAUUUAUUAGACUGAAGCCAAUAUUCCUUGUGUCUAUUGCGGUGAUUCAUAAUAACUGAUCGAAUCUCUUUUUGAGAUAAAUCAUUCAAGUUUCUGCCCUAUCAGCUUUCGAUGGUAGUGUAUUGGACUACCAUGGCAGUAACGGGUAACGAAGAAUAGGGUUCGAUUUCGGAGAGGGAGCAUGAGAAACGGCUACCACAUCUAAGGAAGGCAGCAGGCGCGUAAAUUACCCAAUCCUGACUCAGGGAGGUAGUGACAAGAAAUAGCAAACCGGGAACCUCAUGGUUUCACGGUAUUGCAAUGAGAACAAUUUAAAACCCUUAGCGAGAAUCAAGUGGAGGACAAGUCUGGUGCCAGCACCCGCGGUAAUUCCAGCUCCACUAGCGUAUAUUAAAGUUGUUGCAGUUAAAAAGCUCGUAGUUGAACCUCUGUCUGGGGCUAGUUUUGGCUUUGGUCAGGCUAGUUCUAGGCAUCCGCCUACAAGACUUAGAGGGCAUUCAGUUGUUCACUAGGAGGAGUAGGCAUUUUACUUUGAAAAAAUUAGAGUGUUUAAGGCAGGCAAUCGCCCGCAUAUAUUAGCAUGGAAUAAUAGAAUAGGACACUUUUCCAUUUCGUUGGUUAUUGGAAUCGUGUAAUGAUUAAUAGGGACAGUUGUGGGCAUUUGUAUUUAAUUGUCAGAGGUGAAAUUCUUGGAUUUAUUAAAGACAAACUAACGCGAAAGCAUUUGCCAAGGAUGUUUUCAUUAAUCAAGAACGAAAGUUAGGGGAUCAAAGACGAUCAGGUACCGUCCUAGUCUUAACUAUAAACUAUUCCGACUCAAUGUUUGACUGGCUUAUAUAACCAGUUGAGCGUUGUAUGAGAAAUCAAAGUCUUUAGGUUCUGGGGGGAGUAUGGUUGCAAAGCUGAAACUUAAAGGAAUUGACGGAAGAGCACAACCAGGAGUGGAUUCUGCGGCUUAAUUUGACUCAACACGGGGAAACUUACCAGGUUAAAACAAUAGUGGGAUUGACAGUUUGAGAGCGCUUUCUUGAUUGGUUGGGUGGUGGUGCAUGGCCGUUCUUAGUUGGUGGAGUGAUUUGUCUGCUUAAUUGCGUUAACGAACGAGACCUUAGCCUGCUUACUAGACUGGCGAAAG